rnacentral:tRNA from 1 species
GCCCCUGUGGUGGAACGGCAGACACGGCAGCCUUAGAAGCUGUUGUCGAAAGGCGUGCGGGUUCGAGUCCCGCUGGGGGCACCA